rnacentral:rRNA from 1 species
AGAUUGAACGCUGGCGGCAGGCCUAACACAUGCAAGUCGAGCGGUAGAGAGGUGCUUGCAUCUCUUGAGAGCGGCGGACGGGUGAGUAAUGCCUAGGAAUCUGCCUAGUGGUGGGGGAUAACGUUCGGAAACGGACGCUAAUACCGCAUACGUCCUACGGGAGAAAGCGGGGGACCUUCGGGCCUCGCGCCAUUAGAUGAGCCUAGGUCGGAUUAGCUAGGUUGGUGAGGUAAUGGCUCACCAAGGCGACGAUCCGUAACUGGUCUGAGAGGAUGAUCAGUCACACUGGAACUGAAGACACGGUCCAGACUCCUACGGGAGCAGCAGGUGGGGAAAUUAGUUAGGACAAA